rnacentral:lncRNA from 1 species
UUUAUGAGAAGUAUACAGCCACAGAAGUUGUUGCUGACACUCUGAGUGAAGAAUGGAAAGGUUCUGUGAUGGGAAUCAGCGACAGGAACGACAAACAAGCUUUCCCAUGAAGCAGGGUGUUUGACUCAUGGCUGGGUCUGUGUACUACUGAGCAAGGGGCAUUCCUGUUACAGAGCAAGGAGAACUGGGGCAAGAAGCACGAAGCUGUUUGCAGUUGCAUUGUGGAUGCCAAUCCAAGCUUUCUAAACUUCGUUAUUAUGAAAAAAAAAAAGAGGAUAGAAGGAUAUUCCUGGACUGACUGAUACUGUGGAGCAUCAUCGCCUGGGGCCCAAAAGAGCUAGCAGAAUCCACAAACUUUUCAGUUUCUCUAAAGAAGAUAGUGUCCACCAAUCUGUUGUUAAGAAAGCCCUUAAAGAAGGCAAAAAACCUGGGACCAAAGCACCCAAGAUUCAGCUUCUUGUUACUCCAUGUGUCUUGCAACACAAAUGCUGGCGUAUUGCUCUGAAGAAACAGUGUACUAAGAAAAAUGAGGAAGAGGCUGCAAAAUACGCUGAACUUUUGGCCAAGAGAAUGAAGGAGGCCAAAGACAAACUCCAGGAACAGAUUGCCAAGAGAUGCACACUGUCCUCUCUGUGAGAUUCAACUUCUGAGUCCAGCCAAAAUUAGGAUUCUUUUAAGUAACCAAUAAAUAAG